rnacentral:rRNA from 1 species
UACGUAGGGUGCAAGCGUUAAUCGGAAUUACUGGGCGUAAAGCGUGCGCAGGCGGCUUGCCAAGUCAGAUGUGAAAGCCCCGGGCUCAACCCGGGAAUGGCGUUUGAAACUGGCAGGCUAGAGUUUGGCAGAGGGGGGUGGAAUUCCACGUGUAGCAGUGAAAUGCGUAGAGAUGUGGAGGAACACCGAUGGCGAAGGCAGCCCCCUGGGCCAAAACUGACGCUCAGGCACGAAAGCGUGGGGAGCAAACAGG